AGGAAGGCAGCAGGCGCGCAAAUUACCCAAUCCCGAUACGGGGAGGUAAUGACAAUAAAUACUGAUACGGGGCUCUUUUGGGUCUCGUAAUUGGAAUGAGAACAAUUUAAAUCCCUUAACGAGGAACAAUUGGAGGGCAAGUCUGGUGCCAGCAGCCGCGGUAAUUCCAGCUCCAAUAGCGUAUAUUAAAGUUGUUGCAGUUAAAAAGCUCGUAGUUGAACCUUGGCUCUGGCUGGCCGGUCCGCCUCACCGCGAGUACUGGUCCGGCUGGAGCUUUCCUUCUGGGGAACCUCAUGGCCUUCACUGGCUGUGGGGGGAACCAGGACUUUUACUGUGAAAAAAUUAGAGUGUUCAAAGCAAGCCUUUGCUCGAAUACAUUAGCAUGGAAUAAUAGAAUAGGACGUGCGGUUCUAUUUUGUUGGUUUCUAGGACCGCCGUAAUGAUUAAUAGGGAUAGUCGGGGGCGUCAGUAUUCAGCUGUCAGAGGUGAAAUUCUUGGAUUUGCUGAAGACUAACUACUGCGAAAGCAUUCGCCAAGGAUGUUUUCAUUAAUCAGGGAACGAAAGUUAGGGGAUCGAAGACGAUCAGAUACCGUCGUAGUCUUAACCAUAAACUAUGCCGACUAGGGAUCGGACGGGAUUCUAUUAUGACCCGUUCGGCACCUUACGAGAAAUCAAAGUUUUUGGGUCCUGGGGGGAGUAUG
rnacentral:rRNA from 1 species